CUGCCUUGGGCACCGGGGAGAGCUGGUGCGGGAGCGGCCAGGGCAGGCCCGAGCAGCAGGUGGAGGCUCGCCGAGCCACGACCGGGCUUCUCCUAGGAAGGAGGAGGCAGCAAAGCGAGCGUUUGAUCCUCGGAGGGGUGUUGCGCAGAGUGCGGGGUGGCCAGGCCGGUGUUCGGGGGAGACCGCGCUGAACGCAGCCGGAGCCCGAGCCUGUUAGUGCGAGGCCGGCGGGGAGGAACAGCUGAGCAAAGGCUGGGCCCGGCUCUGAGCUCGUGGGGGAGGCCUUCUGGGCCUCGGUUUCCCCACCUGCAAAGUGCGGGCGUUGUCCUCCCCGGCGUUAGGAUCCUCCCACCUCUGACUCAGAUUGAGCAGUACUGCAGGUGGAUGAGGGUUUGUUUAUUAUUCUAUUUUUAAAGAUUUAUUUAUUUAUUUUUGAGAAACACACACAGAGAGAGAGAGAGAGAGGCAGAGACCCAGGCAGAGGGAGGAGCAGGCUCCACGCAGGGAGCCCGACGCGGGACUCGAUCCCGGGGCUCCAGGAACAGGCUAGGACGCUGAGCCCCCCGGGCUGCCCCUAGACACAGAGAGAGAGGGAGAAGCAGGCUCCAUGCAGGGAGCCCAACGUGGGACUCGAUCCCGGGACUCCAGGAUCACGCCCUGGGCCAAAGGCAGAUGCUCAACCCCUGAGCCAGCCAGGCGUCCCGGACUGUUGUUCUUUUUGAAUUUUGACCAGUAUGGCAAGUCAGAGAGAGACGUCAGGCCUUCAUAUAUCUGCACUGGCCGUGGCUGGGUACAUACCGGACUUGAAGGCCCAGGGAGCACGAGCAAGGGCAUGUUCUGCAUACCUGGACACCUGAGGCCCGAGCGUCUGCCACCAACACACACUGGUUUUCAGUUGCUUCAUCCAUAGAUCUGGGGACCAAUGAGGGCUUUCCAGAGGGCAAAGCAAGGUCUUAGGAGCCCACUGGCCUGCCUCUGAAUUCUGACUCUACCUUUGACUAGUGAGUUUGGGUUAAUCACAUAAUCUCUCAGAACCUCAGUGUUCUCAUCUGAAAAAUGGGGACGAACACCACCAGCCUGUGAGAAUUCAGUAAGAUGCUGUGUGCACAGGCACAGUCCAGCCUGUCGUCGGCGCUCAGGAAGUGCUGUUUCUGUGUUUCCCCCUCUUCGGGCUUUGAAGAGCCAGUGACUGCCAGGCAGGAGAAAUGUAACUGAUUAGCUGGUGUUUGUUCCUCUUAUCCCACAGAGUUUAAUUUCAUUGAAAGUCCUUUAGAAUGUGUGGUCCUGGAAGCACAUGUCGAGGAGGACAGAGAGUUCAGUUUAAGGAACAGUCAGACAAGGGAUUAUGUAAAAAGGGUUGAAGGGUUGGAGGCUCAAAGCAGGUGUUCCAUAUGCGGGGGCGUGGCAGGGAGAUGGCUGGUGGCCCGCCUCCUGGUGACCCCUGGUGGUGAGAAGGGGGAUUACAAGUCUGCGUCACAGCCUAAAGGCAAGCUGGGCCUGGCUGUUUUGGAUGCUGUACUGAGGCAUUGGACACGAUUUCUUUUUUUUAUUCAUUUUUAUUUUUUAUUUUUUAUAAUAAAUUUAUUUUUUAUUGGUGUUCCAUUUGCCAACAUACAGAAUAACACCCAGUGCUCAUCCCAUCAAGUGCCCCCCUCAGUGCCCAUCACCCAUUCACCCCCACCCCUCGCCCUCCUCCCCUUCCGCCACCCCUAGUUCGUUUCCCAGAGUUAGGAGUCUUCAUGUUCUGUCUGCCUUUCUGACACGAUUUCUUUUUCUUUUUUUUUUAAUUUUUAUUUAUUUAUGAUAGUCACACACACAGAGAGAGAGAGAGAGAGGCAGAGACACAGGCAGAGGGAGAAGCUGGCUCCAUGCACUGGGAGCCCGACGUGGGAUUCGAUCCCGGGUCUCCAGGACAGCGCCCUGGGCCAAAGGCAGGCGCUAAACUGCUGCGCCACCCAGGGAUCCCCCUGACACGAUUUCUUAAUAAGGUGAUGUCUGUUUGUAAAAUCAGUGCAGGUAUGCCAGAAUGUUCCAGAAAGAUAGAUGUCCUUAGAAUACUUAUAUAUAUAAUGUUAUAUAUAUAACGUUAAUAGGUGAAGAAACUUAUAACGUUUUAUAUAUAUAAAUAUAUAAAUACACACAUAUUCUAUGAUAUUUGGUAUAUAUUACAUUUUAAGUUACUAUAUAUAUGGGUACGCACAUACUACGAUUCUAUGCACACUGUUUGGGAACUUCCUUGUUUCAUCCAAACAUAGAUGUGCUCAAAUCAGUCUCCAUUUGGAACAGCGAAAGCCUCUACAAAUUGUCUCCUGUGCACUUUUAACAUUCUUUAACGCAUUCCUUCUUUGAGCACACCCUAUCCUGGCAGGGUGUUUUCACAUGUAUCAUGUGUGGAGUUAUGACCUUGUUUUUGUCCUUGUUUGGAGAUUAAGUAUGGAUUAAGGAGAAGCUUGUGGGUGCCACAUUGACAUGGGGUGGACUUGUGAUAGAUCGUUUUCUAUGGUAACUUGGCUGGGCCAUGGUACCCAGAUAUAUGGUCAAACGUAUUCUGGAUGUUUCGGUAAGGGUGUUUUGGGAAGAGAUUAACAUUUAAAUCGUGGGCUUUGAGGAAAGCAGAUUGCUCUCCAUAAUGUGGAUGGGCCUCAUCCAAUCAGUUGAAGGCCAAAAUAGACCAAAAGUCUGACAGCGGAUGGCCUUCAGCCUUGAACUGCACCACUGGCUCUUCCCUGGAUCUCUGGAAUGCCAGACUACCUUGCAGAUUUUGGAUUUGCCAGCCUCUGUGAUAACAUGAACCAGUUCCUUAAAAUCUGUUGUCCAUCUGCCCAUCCAUCCGUCCAUCGAACCUAUUGGUUCUAUAUCUCUGGAAAACCCUGAUUAAUAACAGCAUGGUUAAGUGGAGGUUCUUCAAGCAUUUUUUAAAAUCACUUCUGGUUUAGACUUUCUUGUCUGGGGUUAGAGUUAUAUUUUCCUAGAAAAUUAUCCAUUUCAAAUGGGUUUCAAAUUUAUCUACAACUAUUGUGCAAAGCAGUCUCUUAUGAUUUUAAAAAAUGUCCUCUGUAUUAAUGCUUAUUUUUCAUUUGUUAUUAUUUACUUUGGAUAUUUAGGGGUUGACGUGCCAUUAAAAAAAAAAAACAACUGG